UCUAUCUCAUACGACACAAGAAAUAUAGCAUUGGUGAGAAAUUUAAUUUGGAAAGAACUAUGAAUAACGUUUAUUACAAUAUUGCCAAAAAUCAGAAAUGAAGCAAAUGCAAACACAUUGUAGCCAAAUCAACUCGCUACACUUCUUGAUCAACUUGGUUUUACAACACCUAACGAUAUAUUUCGAGAUAUUUCUCCACUGUGAUUGGCUUGCGGUGAGCAUAAUCUAUCUCAUACGACCCGAGAAAUACAGCAUUGGUGAGAAAUAUUUGUCAACACAUGUAUUCAAGCAGUAUUAAGACAACGAUGCUGACUAUAUUGACUUUGUUAUGUGACCGUUUUCACAAAGCAACUAUUUUGUUUCAAACCAGAUUCGUUGCACACCACCAGCUAAAUCUUUUUAUACUUUAUGAAAUCUUAAAUUGCUCUUUGGAAGAACUUUGGGGAAACACGUCCAGCAUUCUACCCCAAGGACGCUACGACUAGCACGUAUAUAACGCAAAAACUGUCGGAAAACCACUAAUCUAUGAAAAAAACUUUAAUCGAAUUAAUUGUAUUAUAGGAGUUGUCAAAUAAUGUAACAAUAAACUAUUUGCAAUUUUAGCUUCAGCAAAA